rnacentral:rRNA from 1 species
UGAAUACGAGAUGCUACGGCGUCGAAGCAGUGUAUGUCAGACUUCCAAGAAAAGCUCGCAAUGUCAUAAAUAAAGAAUGCCUGUACCAUAACCGACACAGGUGGGUAGGUAGAGUAUACUAAGGGGCGCGAGAUAACUCUCUCUAAGGAACUCGGCAAAAUAACUCAGUAACUUCGGGAGAAGGAGUGCCUUCUUUAAGAAGGUUGCAAUAACAAGAUCCAAGCAACUGUUUAUCAAAAACACAGGUCUCCGCUAAGUCGUAAGACGAUGUAUGGGGGCUGACGCCUGCCCAGUGCCAGAAGGUUAAAGAAGUUGGUUAGCUUUUGCGAAGCUGAUGACUGAAGCCCUGGUGAACGGCGGCCGUAACCAUAACGGUCCUAAGGUAGCGAAAUUCCUUGUCGGGUAAGUUCCGACCCGCACGAAAGGCGUAAUGAUUUGGAUACUGUCUCGGAGAGGGACUCGGUGAAAUAGACUUGUCUGUGAAGAUGCGGACUACCUGCACCAGGACAGAAAGACCCUAUGAAGCUUUACUGUAACUUGAAAUUGAAAUUGGACUUUAUUUGCGCAGUAUAGGUGGAAGGCGUUGAAAGUAAUCUUGCGGGAUUAGUGGAGCCAUCAGUGAGAUACCACUCCUAUAAUGUUAGAUUUCUAACUUUGGAUCAUGAUCUGGUCAAAGAACAGUUUCAGGCGGGCAGUUUGACUGGGGCGGUCGCCUCCCAAAUGGUAACGGAGGCGUACAAAGGUUUCCUCUGAACGGGUAGAAAUCGUAUCUAGAGUGUAAAGGCAUAAGGAAGCUUGACUGUGAGACCUACAAGUCGAGCAGGGACGAAAGUCGGUCUUAGUGAUCUGACGGUGCUGAGUGGAAAGGCCGUCACUCAACGGAUAAAAGUUACUCUAGGAUAACAGGCUGAUCUCCCCCAAGAGUUCACAUCGACGGGGAGGUUUGGCACCUCGAUGUCGGCUCAUCGCAUCCUGGGGCGGUAGUACGUCCCAAGGGUUGGGCUGUUCGCCCAUGAAAGCGGUACGCGAGCUGGGUUCAGAACGUCGUGAGACAGAUCGGUCCAUAUCCGGUGUAGGCGUUAGAAUAUUGAGAGGAGCCUUCUUUAGUACGAGAGGACCGAGAAGGACAUACCUCUGGUGUACCAGUUAUCGUGCCAACGGUAAACGCUGGGUAGCUAUGUAUGGAGAGGAUAACCGCUGAAAGCAUCUAAGUGGGAAGCCCACCUCAAGAUGAGUAUUC